CAUCUCAGGAAAAGGCAGUAAAAUGGAGACAUGGGGUACUGCAGAUGCUGGAAUCUUGAGCAAAACA